ACGAACGCUGGCGGCAGGCUUAACACCUGCAAGUCGCGCGCCCCGCAAGGGGAGCGGCAGACGGGUGAGUAACGCGUGGGAACGUACCUUUUGGUUCGGAACAACUCCGGGAAACUGGAGCUAAUACCGGAUAAGCCCUAACGGGGAAAGAUUUAUCGCCGAAAGAUCGGCCCGCGUCUGAUUAGCUAGUUGGUGAGGUAACGGCUCACCAAGGCGACGAUCAGUAGCUGGUCUGAGAGGAUGAUCAGCCACACUGGGACUGAGACACGGCCCAGACUCCUACGGGAGGCAGCAGUGGGGAAUAUUGGACAAUGGGCGCAAGCCUGAUCCAGCCAUGCCGCGUGAGUGAUGAAGGCCUUAGGGUUGUAAAGCUCUUUUGUCCGGGAAGAUAAUGACUGUACCGGAAGAAUAAGCCCCGGCUAACUUCGUG
rnacentral:rRNA from 1 species